GAUAUCCAAUAGUUCUUCCCGGCUGUAUGUAAUAACACUUAAGAUUUUCUGGGCUAACAAUGUAAGAAUUAAUACAUAAAAAAACAAAAUAGUGCAAAGUUUCCUAAGGACUAGAAGCGAGUCUUCCCUCUCUGUCGGCGCCGUCUUGAUCUCAGUUAAUGAUUUUUUUUUUAUCAAAUAUUGCACAUUUUCAGAAGAAUGCUUAUUUCUAAAUGUGUAAAGUGACAUUUGGGUUCACAGUGGGCAUAGAGAAACAAUGUGUAGGGAAUUUAAAUGAGAUCAGACUGACAAAAAAUGAAUACCCUUUUAUGAUGAUCAAAUUGUCUUUCUCACCUUCUUAAUUUCCUCUCUGAAAUUGUGACAUAAUCAGUAAAAUGUCACAGAGACCUUUAUGGUUAGUUGAUGAAAACGGGCCUCACUCAACCCCAUUCAUUCUACAUUCACAGACUGUCACAACGUUGGAAACUAGACAAAUAUAGCCUGUUUUUCUGUUAACUCUAUGUGCAGGUGGGUUUGUGCAGGCUUUAGCCCUUAACGUUACAUCCAGCAUGACCUCAUAUAUAGUGUUUUCAUGAAGGGAGAUUGAUGUUCAAAGGAAAAUUGAACACUUACUUGAUAUAGAUUUCCAAUCAGCAGUGAGGUAGAAAGAGGCCUCCCUCCUUUGUAGUGUUGAUGUGUAUGAAGUGUCAGGUUUGCAUUUCAUUUCUGACAUCAAAGAGCUGUUUUUCUCUUUUUUAAUCACCCUGUGCCCCUUUCCUGCAGUCAAAUAACCAAAAGAGCCCUCUAAUGCCCUCAUGGGUGGAAUGUUUUUGAUCUUUUUCAUAAUUAAUUUAAAAAAAAAAUCAAAAAUACACAAAAAAUCUAUUGUUUUUAUGUUAAACAAUUUUGUUAUAUUUCAGUCUUCUAUGAUGUACUGUAUGAAAGUGUAAUAUUAGAAUGCAAACUCAAAAUUGAAUACAUUUCAACUCUAUAUCUGAUGCAGUACACAUGUUUUCAUUUUUUCCCAAGACACAUAAUAUCUAAUACCUUUGUCAUCUGGAAAGGGGGGUCAGGGGGUGUCUUUGGGAGUCAAGGCUGCAAUAGCUUAGUCACCCAAACACUUUCAAACCACAUUGAAGCAAAGGUGUGGUGUAUUAUGUUGGCAACAAGAUACUGUAGAUGACAUGUGGUGCGAUGUGGUAUGAGAAUGAAAACGUAUAAUUUCUGUCAUAUUUCACUAGAGAGCAUUGAUACAAUUUCGACCAAUCCAUUGGUCGAAAUUUUAAAACAUGUAUUUUUCUAUAAAGCCACACCCUAUGUGUUUGAAUAAAAUCAACUAUAUGUACUUAGCUCAUCUGAUGCGUUAAGCGCACUGUUCGAUUAAAUAAUUAAAGCACACAAAUGGCUCAAGAGGGAGCCCGAUGGCAACGCUGUGUUAAAAAAAUGACAGCGAAUAGGCCUCUGUGACUGGCACACAUUGUCUCUCCUCCCUUCUGCAGCGAAAAGGUACCACAGCACAGCAAGUUUUGAUCGCACUGUCAGUGCUGAAGCUGCAACAUAAUUUCAGACAUUUACGGUAGUUUCUUACUUCUUCCUCUGACUGAAAAGUUCUGUUACCGGAAUCCCUAAUUUGUUGAGGAAAAACAUUCCCUAUUCCCUCAACCCUUGCUCUCUUUAUGUGAAAUGUUUGCAUCGCAUGCACGUGACCAAUACAGCCUGACCUAUAGCCUAUUAUAAUCACAUAAAUAAAUUGUGUAAAAAAAAAUAAAAACCAAACUCUGAACACCGUAACACAUGGCAGUAAAAUGGAAGUGGAGGACAUGAAAAAUAAACUUGAAACAGGUGAAUGUUUACCGGUUGCUCAGGAGGGAAAGGGGAAGUCAGAUCUGUGGAAGACAUUUUACUUAGUUGUGGAAACUACUGAAAAUCAAGAAAAAGCUACCGUUGCAUGAGUAUUAUGUGUGACAAACAGGUGCUGUUAGAUUACAAGAUAUUUUUUUGUGAACAUUUGGAACAGUGUAAACACUAAAAACAUAAGUGUACCAGAGAGUCUGUUCUAACAAGAAAAUAUAUAUAUAAAGCCUUUAUUACAGCAAAGAAAAGUAAACAACAAAACAACUUGGAAGAUGGCGAAUAAUAGCGAUGCUUCUGCGGUGGAGUCCAAAUGUAAGUAGUUUUUGUUCUUCUUAAAAUGAUCACAACUAUUUCAUCGUAACGUUACAUCUUUGAAAACAGAUUUGCAGCCUGCUGCCUGCUGUGCCUUUUAGCUAGCUACGUGCUUCAGUAGGGCUCAAGGGUGAAAGUAGAUUUAAUUUCUUCCCAGUACGGGACCUCCAAAUAAUUUUAUGGUCGUAAUCAAAGAAUUACAUAUAGAAUCUCUAUUAAUUCAAUAGGAUCUCUGUGGGCCUAGUCGUAAAGAUGUGUGAUUUAACUUUUAAAAUGUGUUACCUUUUAUUGUGGCAUAAACACAACCAGUCAUGAUUUUUUCAUCUGAUUGUCAAACAACUACUCAAACAGUGGUGAAUGGAAAGAGACAUCUCCACAAAACACCAACAAGUGUAAUGACAUUUGGCGAUUUUCAUUAGGCCAGAAUUUAUGUCCACUGCUGUAUGCAGUGUCGGGCACUUAUCUCUGCCUUGGCAAAAUGUAGGUGUUAUUGUCGAACCACAUCGUAUUUUGGAGCAUUUUCAAGUCCAUUCUGCCAUAAUGGUGUAAUAGCCUAGAGUUUUCUUGACCUUCUGCUGUAAUUAUUGUGAUGGGCUCAUGUUUUACCAGUACGGCGUACCUCCAACUAUUUAUUUUGCCGGGAUUCCGUACCGGACCGCCUUACUUUCACCCUUGGUCGGACUAGAAGUUAACUGUUCGAACAGUAAUGUUAGCUACAGGGUUAACGGUAACGUUACUUGCUGUUGAGCGACAACUCAAUUUUUAACAUUAGCCUAGCUUGCUAGCUAGCUACUUGUUGUAAAUACCAUUGCUUGUGUUCAAAACUAUGCACUGGAUAUAGUGUUAGUAACGCGGUAGCCUAUAUUCCUAUUUUCCACAGCGGUGCUGGUCCCAACACUUCUCUUUUCUUCUAGAUCUCCUGAUUUGUCACUUCAUUUUAUCUGUGAUGAGCUGAUUGUAAUGUCCAUGCUGAACGGUUACAGUCUGAAUGGGUCUUGAUAUUUUCAUUGCAGAUAACCUGUUAUGGUGAAAGUAACGGAUCUAUGGUAAGGAGUGUGAGCUGGAGGGGCAGCUGUCACCUGUAUGGGUGAAAAAGAACAAUUAAAAGCUCUCCCCACCGGAGUCAGCACGGAGGGACUGGAGGCCGUAGACGCAUCCUGGAAGUGGUAUGCGGUGAUGGAUGAGGUGCUAGCAGGCUGCCACUUCAUCGCCCCAUCGGUCAUCAUCUCCUCAUCCUCCCAAGGUGCAGCUAUGGGCACCCCUCCUUCCCAGAAUGGCCCAAAUGUGGGCAGGAGCGGGAGAAGGAGGUGACUGCCAGGGAGGCAUGCCUUAUGGCCAUUUUAGAGGCCAUGAUUAAGAAGUAGUUUUACGUAUUUUGUACGUACAGUAUUGUAUUUCUUUUUUUAAACCCAAAGUGGAUUUUUCUUUUUUUUAAAGUGUUUUCUUGUUUGUAAUAAAAAAGAAAAAGUGAUACCGGUA